AAUAAUUAACCAGCGCUUUGCUCUUUGGGGAUUACAUAGCUAACCGUCCAUAAUCCACAUGUGGUUGUUCUCUCUGCAAGUAAGUUCCAGCACGAUUUUGGAAACUGAGUAGAUUUUCUCCAUGAGCUCCUUGCUUACUCCUGGCUGAGUUCCCACCCGCCCCCAAUCUUGUGUGUGUUUAUAAAAAUGUAGACAACUUAAUAUGAAGCCAUGUAUUAAGUUAGUAGGGAGGGAGCUGUGCACUCACAAUCCAGAUGCAUUAAAAAAGCUAAACACAGGAGACAUGUGGAUCCUCUAACCUGCAGUUCCUUCCCAACUCAGAAACUACUUCACUAAGAGGUAAGCAUUUUAAUUUAUCUCGUUGGUGGAGAAACAGAGUAAGCUGUCGUGUGGUUUUGUAAUCUUUAAUCGAUAUAAUUCUUAAACCAUGCCUUUGUAUGAACACCAAUAUUAACUUUCAUCCAACAGCCUUUCCUGACAGCUAAAAUAUUUGCUGUCACUGGUUCAGCUCUGAAUUCUCAGAUCAGCCACGGCUGAUCCCCAGUGCCUUGCCCCAGCCCCAGGACAGGCGCACCAGUAGAGCUGUGGCUGGCUGGUGAGGUAUCAACCACCCCAGGAGUCUGAAUCCUGGAGAUGAAUGGAGAAGUGGCAAGGUUAGAGCCCCAGAAGAAGGUUGGGAUAUAAAUACAAGGAAAUGCUUAAAAUGCAGUGGUGGAAAUCUGAAAACAUGGGUCUUGGGUUAUCACUGGGAAAAGUAAAGCAUAAUAAAUCCAGGCCAAAUUAAAAGUAAGGGAUUUCUAAAUUAAAAACAGUGCAUGUUACGAAAGGCCCGGGCAUGCACGUUUUUAAGGAAAAACAACAGUAUUAAGCAUUCCUGAUAUUUGUUGAGGCAGAAAAAAAUAUUUCAGGUCAAGGGAAGCCCAAAAGCAAAAGGGGCAAGACUGUAUCAGCAUCUUCCCAGCCUGUUAGGAAGGACGAGGGGGAUGGUGCUGUGGUAUUCUUCCUUGCUAAUGGUAGCUAUCAGUGGGAUAAAGUACAGGAACCGUGAAAGCAACUAUUUAAAAUGUAUGAAUCAAUGUGCUAUUAUACUCAGGGUCUUAGUAUGCUUUUUGUCACGAUAAUGAAAUACCUGAGGAGAUUAACUGAUAAAGAGAAAUGUGAAUUUUGGCUCAUGGCUCUCUAGCUGAUGAGGGAUCCUCACGCUACGGAAUUCUGAAGAGGGCAUCACAUGAAGGUGGUGUGGGGAAGACACCUACACCAUAAGCCAGAAAGCAAAGAGAAACAUGAGCAGGGUCCUCGUGAUCCCAUUCAGGGGCAUCACCCGGUGGUUCUCUUACAAAGUCACACACACCUCCCCUGGUCUCCACACCUCCCAGCAGCUCCACCCUGGGAACUAAGUUUUAGAAAUUCUGGCAGGAAAUCUGAUCCAAACCGUGAGACCUGGGUCACAAUUUCAGGCCGUUUUCAUCAUUUUUACUAGAAAGCCUAGACCUUUUAGCGAGGACCCUCCUCACAGCUAGCCAGUCUUCACACAUCCCUGCACAGUCCCUAAGCUACUGCCUGGCUAUAGGUUUCCUAUUGUAGAGAUUUCAUUAUAAUGGAAUCAAACCAUCUGUCAUAUCCUGAACUGCUUUGCCUUCCUUGUCACAAUGUCCUCAAGCCUCAACCACAGGUGGCGAGUAUCAGUAUGCCACGUUUUAUAUUGCCUUUAACCCUUCUAAGAAUGGCGUAGGCGUACGCACUGAAAGUGUGAAAAAUCAAAGAAUCGUCACAGGAACACGAUGAUAUAUACACGCCGGGCAUUGAAACAAUUCGGAUACAAGCCACACAAUCACGUGGAGGAAAAGGGAGCUUAUUCACAAGCAGUCUUUCGGUUUUCAGAUCAAGCAAAAUGAAAGGACGUGAAAAGAAUGCGUCUGGAGUAAAGAAUACGUGCGUGUCCCUGUGGCUGUCCCCAAGCAUAUGUGACAAGAGAUGCAGGGUUAGAGCAACUGUCUUGUUGGCUACCAGCAAACGAGCAAGCAGGAGCCAACGAAAUCAGACAGCCAGCAGGUGCGCUAGGAGUCCUCACCGCAGGGCUGAGACUCUGCCAAUCAACCUGUGCCUCCCAUUGCCAGCGACUAGGGCGUGGCUACAAUCCUUUCGCUGAAAAUGAGCGUUCGUAAGCGAUGAUAAAUAGCCUUAUAUGUGCGCAUCUGGAUGCCGGGUCCUAACACACGGGGAGGGUGUACCACCCAGAAAUAACUCCAAAGUGAAAAUAGAAGGCAGAGACGCAAAGUGAACUCAAAGCUUUGUUUAUCAACAGGAAAGGCGUGGCUGUGACGGGGAGAUGGCGUGCGUGAGGCUGAAUCGAGAUUCCCGAGCAGGCACGCCUGUGUCGGUAAAGGACACCUGACCGUGUUCUUGAAUUCCGCCACUGUAAUCACUUUCAUGGUCAUCUCUUGAUGGACGUCUAGGCUGGCUCCGUUCCCUGGCCAUCCUGAAUAUAUGCAGCAAUAAAGAAGGCUACAUGUUUAAUCAUAAACACUGAGCAAGCAUGGCGGCGGUGUGCUGAAUUAUGGUCCUUCAGGUAUAUGAGCAUUUGCCUGCUUGCAUGUAUGUGCACCACAUGUGUGCCCACCGCCAGCAGAGGACAGAAGAGCACAUUAGAUUUCCCGGAGGUGGCGUGGUUAUCGCCACCGUGACUGGUGUUGCCAUUUCGCAAUGGCUUCACAGGAAUGCCAUCUGCAUGAAGCUGCUGAGGACCAGGUUGUUCUAGAGAAGGUUGGCUGAUCCUGAACUGUCAUGGGAAAGACUUUGGCAUCUUCACAGCUAUUGUAGCAGCCAUUGCUGCUGCAGCCACUGUGUCUGCAGUGUCUGGGAUUGCCCUCCACUGAUCUGAUGUUAAGGCAAGCACAGUGGGUAAACUUUCAGGAGUAGUUGCUGACAAUUGGGAAUUCUAAAUUUAAAUUGAUAGGAACAGCUUGACAAUGGCCCUCAGUGUUAUGGCCCUCAGGUGUCUUGGCCCCAGGGUGCCACAGUAGUAGGCUUUUUGCUCCUUAUCACAUGCACAAACAGCACGCCCAGUUCUGGGCAGAGACUAAGCAUGUGUUGCUCUCCUUGGUAGGAGACAAUCCCUCUGCCCAAAUCGGGCUCAGCCUUUACGAGAAGCAGUUAGCCAAAGACAGGCAACUCUUUGAGAUCAAUCCUCACCUAAGACAGGAAACUCUGAGACUGGCAGAGAUUUUCCAGAGAUGGGUUGCCACCCUGAAAGGGUCCUAAGACAGGCGCUGCUUAAUAAAAAAAAUAAAAAAGGGGGACUUGUCGGACCCUCCUGGGUCCCCUGAAGUGUUCAACUCCUGCUGAAACUCUGCUAAUGCAUGUAGAAGCCUUUUGUUCCUAACAAAGGAAUGCCCUGGCCCGGCAGCAACACACCUAGGCGUACACCUGGGCGUGCACCUGGGCGUACACCUGGGCAUGCACCUGGGCGUACACCUGGGCGAUGGUCCAUUCAUUCCUGUCUUUUGUUCUCAGUCUUUGUUCCUGGGACUUAGGCUGGUCUUCCUGGAAUUUUCCACCCUGUGAACUUGGGGUAUAUAUUUGGUUAAUAAAGCUACAGAAUUGGCAUUCUCUCUUAACACGAAUGACCCACAUAUGUGUGUUUUUUAAUCCCGCAGGCUUACGCCCGGAUCUCUGUGCCGUGUUGGUGCGGGCAUCGACAACAUUGGACAACAUGGAGGUUCAUCAUUAGGAGAGGCCAAUUCUGCCUCUCUCAACAGACAUUAGUUGCCUGGUUUUGUUGUCGUCGUUGUUGUUGUUUGUGUUGUUUUGUUUUUGUCUAGGGGUGGGAUUCUACGGGAGAUUGCUUUCCACUUCUACCUUAGCAUGUCUAUUGGUAUCGCUGUUCUUCUGGUCUUGCGUAUGCAGUCGUGUCCAGGACAGACUGCCUUGCAGCAGACUUCCUAAUAGUCUGACUCUUAGCAUCUUUACACCCGACUCUCCAAGAUGGUUCCUGUGCCGUAGAUGCAGGAGCUAUGGUGCAGAUGUAUCCACUGGGGCUGGGCUCCUCACAAUAAUCUUUGCAUGACCAACUCUGGCUUAGUUCAUGACAACGAUGAAAUCCACCUGAAUGAGAAGAGUCUUCCAUAGACUCACCUAUGUGAACACUGGAAAGGUUCUAGAACCUUCAGGAGGAAGGAGAGCCUUACUGGAGGAAGUGGGUGGACUUCGAGCGUUUAUGAUUCACCCCACUUCCAAUGUGUGUUUUAUCUUUGUCUUCUCCGUUUGCUUCUCCAACUCCCUCUUUCUCUCCUCAUAACCCCAUCUUUAAAUUAGUUCCUUGAAAAUUUUUACACAAUGUGUUCAGAUCAUAUUCAUGCCUCCCUAUCUCCCAAAGUCCUCCCAGAUCCAGCCCCUGUCUAUAACCACCUAACUUUCCAGCCUCUUUUUCCUUUUUAACCCAUCUAAUCUAAUUUGUGUUGCCCCUCUAUUCUUAGCUGUGUGGUCUUCCACUAGAGUACUGCCAACCUACCAUGGACUGUACUGUUAGAGAAGACCGACUCUCCCUCUGCCAACAGCUAUCAACUGCCCAUAGCAACUCAGAUAGACAUGGGACUUCAUGCCCUAGCCUCCCCAUGCUGGAAUUGUGCCUGGCUUGAAUUUGUGUGGGUCAUAUGCAUGAUUCAAAGCUCGAAAGCCACAAAGAGUCUUAGGAAGGCCGCAGGUAAGCUGAGGCUUAGAAGUCAGAGGAGUCCAGAGUUGAGAACGUUCCUAUCGGUCACAUUCAAGUCCUCAGUGACUUUUUGCCAAACGGUAAAUAAAACCCCUUUUGUUAAUUAAUGUGACUAGAGCAAGUUAAGUGUGGAAUGUUUACUGUGGCUCACAGUUCCAGAGUACAGUCUGUCACAGUGAGAAGCCAUGUGGCAAGGAGCUGGAGGCAGCUGGUCACACUUCAUCUCCAGUCAGAACACAGAGAGCAAACAUCACUACUGCUGGAUUUCCUUUCUCCGAGCCUCCUUAUCUGACCUAGAACCAAGACCAUGGCUAGAGAGAUGGCUCAGUGGUUAGGGCCUUGGCUGCUUCUCCAGAGGGCCUGAGUUCAAUCUUCAGCAAGCACUUGGUAGCUCACGAGCAUCUAUAAUGUGAACUAAUGCCCCCUUGUGGCUUACAGUAUAUACAUACCAAUCUCAUAUACAUAAAAAUAAGUAAGUCCUUUUUUAAAAAUGCUAGAACCCAAAGUAUGAUAUGGCACAGGCCACAGUCACAAUAAAAAUCCCUCACAGGCAAUGACUAGCCUAAGCUAGACAAUUCCUCACAGGCUUGCCCAAAGGCUAACCUGAUCUAGGUAACCCCUCACAGACAUGCUCAGAGGCUAACCUGAUCUAGGUAACUCCCUCCUCACAGCCAUGCUCAGAGGCUAACCCGAUCUAGGUAACCCCUCAUGGGCUAUGUCCAGAGGCUCCUUUCCUAGCUGGUUCUACUUGACAAUCAAUAUAAACCUUCACCCUUCAGACAAGCAAGUAGACAGCAAGACCCCAAACAAUGUGGCCCUCCUAUCUCUCCAUACUCCUUCCCCCCAUUAUACACCAACCACAUUCUCCUUCCUCCCCAUUAUACACCAGUCACAUUCUCCUUCCCCCCAUUAUAUACCAGUCACAUUCUCUAUAUAACACGAACACCUCGAAUCUUUCUAGACUCAAGGCCUUUGCCAUAUUGCAUGCUUCUGCCUGGCUCACCCUACUGUAUUCAGUUCCUUCUACUUAAUUAGCAUACACUUCUGUGGUAGCAUGAAUGGAAAUGGAUCCUACGCUAUCAUAGGGAGUGGCAUUAUUGGAAGUGUGGCCUUGUUGGAAGAAGUGUGUCACUUGAGGUUGGGCUUUGAAGUCGCAGAAGCCAGGCCUGGUCUGUCUAGAUAAGACAGGAGCACUGUCUCUUCCUGCUGCCUGCCAACAGGGUGUAGAACUCUCAGCUACCUCUCCAGCACCGUGUCUGCCUUCUUGCCACCAUGCUCCCAUCAUGAUGAUAACGGAUUAGACCUCUGAAACAUAAGCCAGCCCUAAUUAAAUGCUUUCCUUUAUGAGAGUUGUUGUGGUCGUGGUGUCUCUCCAUAGCAAAAGGAACCCUGACUAAGACAGCCACUAUUUGUAUGCGACUUCAUCAUGAAAGAGUUUGGAAGUGGGUCUCCGUUAGUAGCCACCUCACUCAUCGGUUUUUCUCACAGCGUUUAUCAUGAUUGGUAGGAGGUUUUGCUUUUGCCUCUUCUUCCAACUAGAAGCCAUCCAUUAGGACCUCCUCAGGACAUUCAGUACAGAGCAUGAUAUGACAAAGGUCUGGAAGUCCCUUCAUCACAGCACACAUGAAGUUAGAAAGUGAAGGUGGGACCUGAAAAGACAGCUCAGCACUUAAGAGCAUUUCCAGAGGACCAGGGUUCAUUUCCAAGCACCCAUCCCUGGGUAGUUCACAACUACCUCUAAGUCAUGUUCCAGAGGAUCCAAUGUCCUCUUCUAGACUGCAGGAAUGAUACCUAUGUGAUGCACACUUACACUCAGGAACUCAGAGGAUCCAAUGUCCUCUUCUAGACUGCAGGAAUGAUACCUAUGUGAUGCAUACUUACACUCAGGAUCACACACAUUAAAUACAUAAAGAAUGAACCUUUUUUUUUUUAAAGUGAAGGCAUAUAGACCCAACUAUGUGUCCCAGUGAUAGAUAUAAACUCUCAGUAUUUCUGAGAAGAUGGGGUCUCCUUCCAACCACACAGUGGGGAGGAGGGGGAAUAUUGGUUUAACUUGGAAAAUAACAAAAAUUUUUAAAGAAAGUUUUACUUUCAAAAGAGAGCAACAACACAUAUCUUUCACAGAAUUAACGUCCUCGGAGUCAUGCCGGGAGCUUUGCGAGCUUGACUUAUUACAAGUUAUAGGGGGAAAAAAGAUCUUAAGUUCGUGAGUUUUCUUCUGCUUCUGUCCUGCUAAUCCCACAUUCUAUGGGACAUUUGGAGGAGGCCAAAACAGUUAAAUAAUAGAUGGUCCCGUUAAAUAAAAUAAGACACCCAAUUCAGAGAUAUGGGAGAGAGUCACAUUAAUCUCAAACAAGGCUUUUUCUCAAAUGUCACUGAGAUUGUCGCUGUGCUAGAAUUUUCUUCUUUUCAAGGCUGCACAAGAUGCCAUUGCAAAUCUCUCCCACAUUUUGCUUCCCAUUCUGCUACGGGCAGGCUCUUGGGUUGCACCCAUAAUUUAACUCCUGUAAAUAAUAUGAGUUUACAAAUAUUUCUCUAUUACUCUAUUUUAUUUGUUCUCUGGAGGGAUAAAACCAAAAUUAAAAUCGCUCUGUUGUGUAAUAAUUCUCUUCUGAGGUUUUGAGGGAUGGCCAUACCCCUUCCCACAGCUGUACACUGCUUUACAUCCUCACCAGCAGUACAUAAGGCUGCUCACGUCUCUCCAUGUUCUCACCAACAUUCCUUCCUUCCCUCCUCUCCUCUCCUUUCCCCCUUUCCUGUUUGUUUUUGUUGUCAUCCCCCAUUUGUGUAAGAUGGUAUCUGUCUGCAGAGUUGAUCAUAUUCUUUUGUACGUAGUGGGUGGUUGUAGAUCUUUGGAGGAAUAUUUCUAACCCUUUUGGUCAUUUCAGAGAAGUGGAAGCCCCCCUUGGGUACUACCCUGCCCUGGGACAUCAAGUCACAGCAGACCUAAGUGCAUCCUCUCCCACUGAGGCCAGACAAGGCAGUCCAGGUCAGAGAAGGGAAGCCAAUGAGAGGCAACAGAGUCAGAGACAGCCCCUGCUCCAAUUGUUAGGGACUCACUUGAAGACCAAGCUGCACAUCUGUUACAAAUGUGGGGGGCCUAGGUCCAGUUCUUCAUGCCCUUGGGUUGAUGAUUCAGUCUCUGUGAGCCUCCAUGGGCACGGGUUAGUUGACUCUGUAGGUCUUCCUGUGGUGUCCUUGACCCCUCAGGCUAGCUCAAUCCUAUCUCCCACUCUUCCACAAGACUCGGGAGCUCCACCAGAUGUUUGGCUAUAUGGGUCUCUGCAUCUGUUUUCAUCAGAUACUGCUGGAUGAAGGCCCUCGGGAGAUAUUUAUGCUAGGCUCCUGUCUGCAGGCAUAGCAGAGUGUCAUUAAUAGUGUUAGGGGUUGGCUCUCUCCCUUGGGAUGAGUCUCAAGUUGGGCCAGCCAUUGGUUGGCCAUUCCCUCAGCCUAUAUCCCUGUGCCUCUUGUAGGCAGGACCAAUUUUAAGUUGAAGGAUCUGUGGGUGAGUUGAUAUUCCCCUCCCUCCAGUGGAAGUCCUGCCUAGACAGGAGGUGACCACUUCAGUGUCCAUCUCAGCUGGCAAGGAGUCUCAGCUGGGGUCACCUCACAGACUCUAAGGAGCCUCCCCUCUCCCGGAAUAUUUUUAAUUAGGCAAAUCUUGCCUUGGAAAAUCCCUAAGUAUUUUGUUAUUCUUGAUGCUCUAACAAGUUGAAAUACUUUUUAAAUUUCCUUUUUAGGUGGCUCAUUCUUAGUGUAGAGAAGUUCAACUAACUUUUGUCUGUGGAUGCGUAUUUAGCAGAUUUGUGUGGUAUGUGUGUGCACGUAUGCAAUCACUAGAAUUUUCUAUCUAUAGCUUCUCUCAUCUGUAAGGAGAAGUAAUGUUACUCCUUCUCUGAUUGGCAUUAAACAUUAAAUGUAUUGACUUUAUUUUUGUUCGAUUUUUAACUGCCUUUCUUUUAUUUUGGCUAUUCUGCACAAAGCUCCCAGUACUGCGCUGAUAGAAAAAAAAAAACAAAAACGUUUGAACAAAGGCAGCCCUAAUUGUCCAUGCUUUUAGUGGAAAAGUUUUUGGCCUUUCGACAUAAUUUAUAAUGUUUGCUGUUAACUUUCCUAUUGCCUAUUGUGAUAUGGUACCUUCUAUUCCUGGCUGGUUGAGUAUUUUUCAUCAUGAAAUGUAUUAAAUUGUAUUAAAUGCUUUCUUU
rnacentral:sRNA from 1 species